UCCUGACAACUAAAUUAAAAUUCUUCGCAUAAAGCAGAAUAGUAAUCCUAACACCUACCUCUGAAAGCUUUCCUUUGAAGAAUCUGAUCUGAAGCCGUCUCCAUAGAGCUCGAUUUCCUGAUCUAUAUGACCUGAUAGGAUUGAAAUCCCAAAAUCCAAAAUCCAAAUCUGUCAGCAUUUUCUUAUAUAGGAUUCAAAACAAGGGAUUGAGAAAGGAGGAAGGGGUAAAUUACCUUCUGAAACUUCCACAAACCUCUUACUGGUAUGGGAUUGAUCAACAAGCUACUCUCCCCUAUCUAGAACCGAUCGUCGUUCGUGAGAGAUUGCAAAGAAAAAUUAGGUUUCGAUAAACUGAACUCUGGAAUCGCGACUUUGAUUUUAUAAGCUAUCCACCACGCACGUGAUGACCUAGCAACCUCACACGUGGCCUAUUGAUGGUCAAGGUCGUAAUCCUCCAGUCAGCUAUGAAUGUGACUAUCACUGUCCACGACCAUGAUAUGAUGAUCACGUUCGUGACAGAUGAUCAGUCACGCCCGUGACGGUCAAUCUAAUAGUGAUUUUCAGAGACUCACAGAACCGAAACUAAACUCUGAGUCAGAUAUUAACCCGAAAUUGGGGUGUCACAGGUAACUUGCACAUCAUCAAGGGAUAUCAUAACCUGAUAUAACCUAACAUAACAUAGCCACCUACCCAUGACAUAACUGACAUGACAUAAAGUAACCACUUAAUCAUAAAGACAUUGACAUACAAUUAGCCGCAAAGAUCGAGUAAUAUCAUGAAGCGUAACAGAACAUAGUCACUUAACCGUCUAAAGAAUAACGUGACAUAAUGUAACCACUUAAUCAAUCUAGUGAUUUCAUAACGUAGUCUGGCAUGACAUAAUCACUUAACCAUUACAUGAAUUACCUGACAUAGGGUAAUCCGUUAAUUAUGGAAUCAUUGACAUAAACUGAAAUGCCUCAAUCACGUAAUGUUAUAACAUAACCUAACAUAUCCACAUAAUAAUGACAUGAAUGAUUUGACAUAAGGUGAGCACUUAAUCAUGGAAUCACAACAUGGAAUUACGUGCGUUAAAUUACUUAAAACUUGAUUUAACCUAAUGCAACGAUAAGAUUUUACCCCUUUGAACCACCCACCUGAUUGAUUGGUCGAAAUCUCAGAAAAGCGUUUAAGAAGAUUCCCCUUGCCACCACAAAUCCACAGCUUCUAACGGUGUGUUGUUUAGAACUCAAACAGUCAAUUAUGUUCCGGAAAUUCCUUUUGAAAAUGAAUAACUCUCGCAGAACUGUAAUUUCCACUUAUUGGCAAACUACAGAACUGGUCCCUGUACAGUUGAUCGAUUGGAGACCAGACACCCAAUGUUUCCAAGGUUACCAAACAGUUACUGAACUUUACCUGAAAUUUUCCCAAAAUUGAGGGCAGGUCACCAAACUCCCAAAAAUGACGUUUCAGUCAUUCUUCUUCUCCGGCGAGCGCCAAUCAUCUUGGCAACACCGCUCCGCUCUCUGGCCUUCCUCCGCCACCGCUAGUGGUACUAAACGCGGCCCACACGCCUUGCCGCUCGCCACUGUUUCAAUCUCCGCUCCGCUCCAAGGUCGUCGCCGCCGAGCUUUCCCUCAUCCAACGCCGCCACUGCCUCGGUUUUCUCCACGGUAGUCCUCCCUCUUCAAUCCAACGUCAGGAGCGUCUCAACCGCCGUCGCCAAGUUCCAAAUCUCGCUCUCUCUCUCUCUCUCUGAACGCCGGCGCCGCCAACGAUUUCUCUCUCUCCCUCUCUCUCCCAUGGCGGCAACAACAACCCAAGAGGGUGCCAACUCUCCUAGCUCUCUCUCCCGACUCCCUCUCAGCUACAUUAUUGAGUGCUCCCAACAAUUCGGAUAAUAACAAUGC
rnacentral:lncRNA from 1 species